rnacentral:lncRNA from 1 species
AGCAUGGCAGUGGGGGUCUAAGACGAGGGGGCUUAAUCUGAGAAACUGAUUUGGUUUUCCUUUCAGGGGCAGAGGACGAGCUUGAGAAGGAGGGUCAGUGCAGUUAAGCUGGAGCUCUUGACAUUUUAAGAGCAGAAAAGAAUUCUGGAAAAAACUGGGACAGGAGCCAGGCUCGGCGAUGGGUGGAGUGAAAUCCGAGGGCAUCUGCGCCAGGGAACCUGCGGACCCGGCCGACCUGUCAGGUACCUACUGCAUUUGGAAACAAACCAUCUUCUGGCCGACUGGGGAGCCCAGUGAGGGUUUGUGCUGCCUUAUCUGACUUUGCAAAAUAGAGCCUUUCUCAGCACCCUGUCUUUAAAGAUGGGAGAAGCCACAUGGAGGAUGAGUGCCUAGUCCUUUGGCUCUUGAAAGCAGAAGCAGUUUGAUUUAGGGAGUAGGAAAUAGCCAGGAAAAAAAAGAAGAAAAUACAUACACACACACACACAACCUGAAUACAGAUAGGAUUCCUUUGGAGAGGAGGGGCGGGCGGGCAAUUGCAACCUUAUCCCCUGGGACUUGGGCUCAGGAGCCCAGCCUCGAGGUUCAGUGAACCCGUUAGUAACAUGAACUUGGUCGCAGUAUUUCUCAGCCCGAGCUCAUGCAUUAUUUACCUGGAGUAAGUAAACCUGCUUCUCUCACUGUUGCUGGGGAAACCACUUUGAUUUAGCAAGUUCUGUCUUACUCUCCAACUAAAACAUUACAGAGUGGGAGGGAGGAAGAGGGGCCACCCGGGCUCCCAGAGGCUCAGGGUGUGGAUCAAUGUAGGGGAGUCCCUACUUCCCCCAGGAGAGCCCAACUGGGAAAGAAUGGAG